rnacentral:rRNA from 1 species
UACGUAGGGGCCGAGCGUUGUCCGGAGUUAUUGGGCGUAAAGCGCGCGCAGGCGGCCUCGCGCGCCCGACGUGAAAGCCCCCGGCUUAACCGGGGAGGGUCGUUGGGGACGGCGGGGCUUGAGGGCGGGAGAGGGCGGUGGAAUUCCGCGUGUAGCAGUGAAAUGCGUAGAGAUGCGGAGGAACACCGAUGGCGAAGGCAGCCCCCUGGGUCGACACUGACGCUCAGGCGCGAAAGCGUGGGGAGCAAACAGG